UUAAUGAGAGUUUGAUCCUGGCUCAGGACGAACGCUGGCGGCGUGCCUAAUACAUGCAAGUAGAACGCUGAAGAGAGGAGCUUGCUCUUCUUGGAUGAGUUGCGAACGGGUGAGUAACGCGUAGGUAACCUGCCUUGUAGCGGGGGAUAACUAUUGGAAACGAUAGCUAAUACCGCAUAACAAUGGAUGACACAUGUCAUUUAUUU
rnacentral:rRNA from 1 species